UGCCAGCAGCCGCGGUAAUACGAAGGGAACUAGCGUUGUUCGGAUUUACUGGGCGUAAAGAGCAUGUAGGCGGAUUGGACAGUUGGAGGUGAAAUCCCGGAGCUCAACUCCGGAACUGCCUUCAAUACUUCCAGUCUAGAAUCUGUAAGGGGGUGGUGGAAUUCCGAGUGUAGAGGUGAAAUUCGUAGAUAUUCGGAGGAACACCAGUGGCGAAGGCGACUACCUGGUACAGUAUUGACGCUGAGAUGCGAAAGCGUGGGGAGCAAAGGCAGUUCCGG
rnacentral:rRNA from 1 species